rnacentral:rRNA from 1 species
GACGAACGCUGGCGGCGUGCUUAACACAUGCAAGUCGAACGGAAAGGCCCUGCUUUUGUGUGGUGCUCGAGUGGCGAACGGGUGAGUAACACGUGAGUAACCUGCCCUUGACUUUGGGAUAACUUCAGGAAACUGGGGCUAAUACCUGAUAGGAGCUCCUGCUGCAUGGUGGGGGUUGGACAGUUUCGGCGGUUGGGGAUGGACUCGCGGCUUAUCAGCUUGUUGGUGGGGUAGUUGCUUACCCAGGGUUUGAAGGGUAGCCGGCCUGAGAGGGUGACCGGGCACAUGGGGACUGAGGGACGGACCAGACGCCUACGGGGGGCAGCAGGGGGAAAUAUUGCACAAUGGGGGGAAGCCUGAGGCAGAAACGCCGCGUGCGGGAUGACGGCCUUCGGGGUGUAAACCGCUUUCGCCUGUGACGAAGCGGGAGUGACGGUAAUGGGUAAAGAAGCACCGGCUAACUACGUG